UCCCUGGUGGUCCAGUGGUUAGGACUCAGCAUUUUCAUCGCUGGGGCCGGGGUUUGAUCCCUGGUCAGGGAA
rnacentral:tRNA from 1 species